ACGCACGCUGGCGGCGUGCUUAACCCAUGCAAGUCGAACGAUGAACCGGUUUCGGCCGGGGAUUAGUGGCGAACGGGUGAGUAACACGUGGGCAAUCUGCCCUGCACUCUGGGAUAAGCCCGGGAAACUGGGUCUAAUACCGGAUACGACACUCCGAGGCAUCUUGGGGUGUGGAAAGUUCCGGCGGUGCAGGAUGAGCCCGCGGCCUAUCAGCUUGUUGGUGGGGUAAUGGCCUACCAAGGCGACGACGGGUAGCCGGCCUGAGAGGGUGACCGGCCACACUGGGACUGAGACACGGCCCAGACUCCUACGGGAGGCAGCAGUGGGGAAUAUUGCACAAUGGGCGAAAGCCUGAUGCAGCGACGCCGCGUGAGGGAUGACGGCCUUCGGGUUGUAAACCUCUUUCAGCAGGGAAGAAGCGAAAGUGACGGUACCUGCAGAAGAAGCACCGGCUAACUACGUG
rnacentral:rRNA from 1 species